rnacentral:tRNA from 3 species
GCUCGGGUGGUGAAACGGUAUACACGCUACCUUGAGGUGGUAGUGGGAGAAAUCCUGUGAGGGUUCAAAUCCCUUCCCGAGCACCA